AUUUACAAUUCGGUUUAUAAUUAGUUCGGUGGUUUUGUGCGUUCUUUUAAAUAAUUAAUUAUUAAACGGGGAGUUAGCGUAGAGUCAGUCGUCUCGGUGAAUUUUCACAAGCGUGAAGUAUCGUUGCUUGAUGAUGGUGCGCAACAUCAUCUUGCAUAUAAGAUCUUCCUGGGAAAUCAAAUUAAUCCUGAUCUUUGGGAAUUCAUUUGGGAUUAAGCAUGUUCACCCCUUGAGUGCCCGGGCGCGAUUUGGGUGACGGUUUAAUCCCUUUUUAAUUUUCUCUGAUCAAUUCUUUUGCUUUCCAAGUUUUAAAAUUCAUCGAGCGACAUUGUUUAAUUAAAUAAUAAAUAAAUAAAUAGAGUCAUUUUGUUGCCAACUGCCCCGUUUUUGCUCGCGAUUAGUUUUUUUUUGCUAACAAUGAUAAUAAAUAGUAUACCAUCGAGCUGAUUUCGCGGUUCGCGUUUUUUCUAUCGCGGUCUUUUCGGGCUCCACACUAUCUUUUCACACUAACACACACACACUCACCACCCCCUUACCAACCCCCCCUUUUUUUUUUUAUUAAUUAAAUAAUAAACAAUAAAGUAGAGUCAUUUUUUUUAUCCAAAACUGACCGUGCCUUUUAGCGUCACUUCUUUUCUUUUCCUUCUUUCUUUGUCGUGAGAGCCUACUGACGACAAAACCACUCCUUACACUCUUACUUACACUUCAAUAGACCGGUUGCAGUAGUUUCUUUUUUUUUUUACAAUUAAAUUCAUCGUUUAAUUAAUUCAUAAAUAAAUAAAUACCGUAAAGUCACGCGUGUGGGCACAAACAAUCGAAUCGCAAAAGUAUUUAUGACUACUUUUUGCAUUCGAUUCGUUGCCAUUUUUGUAUUUUUUUUUUUUCGUGUUGUGAAUCAAUUUGGCAUUCAUCAUCAAUAUCAUCUAAUAAUACCGAUAAUUAAUGCGAGGUUUUCAAUUAGUUCGCGUCAAUUAAUUUUUAUCGCCAUUAGAUUAAAUAUAAAAUAAUAAAUAAUCCAGGGAAAAUCGAGAGGGUAUAAAAAGGGGGCUGCUAAUACGUUUUUUUAGUGUGUUUCUACAGGAAGUGUGCCAAGGAAUCAAGGACAAGAGGAUUCAGCCAAGGACCAGGACUCAGUAAUCCAAUCAAGGACCAAAAAAAGGAAGGACCAAAGAUGCGAGGACCAAGGAUGA